rnacentral:lncRNA from 1 species
GCAAAGUGCGCCGCCCUCCGAGGUGAGGGACGAUGCGGCGGGGCAGCGCGGCACCCUGCGGCCGGGCGCGGGGGACGGAACUGCGGCUCUCCCUCCACCGAGCCCCGAGCGCAGACCUUACACCGCGGGCAAGACAGAAACAGCGUCUUAACUUAACAAGCUUCCCAACCCACAGCCUCGGCAUUUGAAGUGCCUUUUGUCUCUUGGUUUCACGUAGGCUAGAUUUUUGUUGCCGGUCGCCAAGUUGUCUUAAUGCAGAAUUUAAUCGGGAAAUGCUUUUCCCUGUUGUAAGCAAGAUGGGAACAGCAGAUUCUGAGGCCUAAGAUGGUACAAAAUACAUCCCUCGGUGAUUAUUGCUAAUACCCUACAAUUUAAUGUUGUAUUUGGGUUAAAAAAGCACUUAUGUAGGAGCAACUUUUUUGCUCAAAGGAGAAAAACUAGUCUUUUUUUUUUUUUCUCCAGCACGCAGCAAUCACGCCCGACGCUGGAAUAUGAAACCGAAAAGGUUUUUCUCCGAAGAGAAUAACCUUAAUUACUAGAUUCCAUGUACAACUAAUCCAAAGGCACACUUAAAAGGAAAUUUAAUAGCGCGAGUUUCUAUUUCACUCUGACUUGCAUUUAUCUUUUGGCCUGAUGCUUCUAACCUGCCUUUUCAGACGGGUUCUGCGGGGCAACCUCGGAGAACUCCCCUCUCCAUUUUGUUCGGAAUCGGGUGCCUUUUCUCAAUAUCCCCUUCUGCCUGCAGUGGGAAUAUAUGGAAAGGCCUCUCUGGGAUUAAAGCCUUAGAUUUUCCCCUUUGCUAACCAGUAAAGAGCGAGAGAGGGAAGAGAGGAAAUGAAAUUGUUAUGGAGAUUACAGUGUAUGUCACUGGUUCUUUGGCCAGUCCUUGGUUUUUGUCGCUGAACGGUAAGUGCAAACUUGUAUUUCCCUUCACAAGAAUGGACAAUUUUUCUCGCUUAUUUGCAGUUUUCCAAAGUUCUACAUACAAAUCAGUGAACCUUAAGAGACCCUUUCACUCUUUUAUUGUGAAUAUUUGUCAGUGCUCGGAGGCUGUGAUUGCAGUGACAGGUGAAUCCAGGGGCCCAGCGAUGGCAUCCCGACUUCAUAGGUUUGGGAAUGUAAAAGACCAUCAGCGCUUUUUCUCGGGAUCUGGUAGUCAACAGACCCUCGCUUGGUGCAGACUGCCGGCACAACCGAGUUUACCACCUGGUCCUAUUAAGGCUGGAAGUUGCAGGACAUCCCUUAGGAAAACCAGCGAGUACCCCAAGGCACCCGCGGCGCCCUCAUACAGAGUGUGAAUCGCCGAGUGGCCUCGGUAGCUUUGCUUUUCCCGGCUUUCCUGGGACUGAAAGAGACUCCUUGAAAACGCUGUAAUCCGGAUCGGAGAGUAUGAGUCAGGAGGAGCCAGGAUACAUCCUUCUCUCCUACACAAGGCUUUCCUGCCGGGAAGAACGUAGCUAGCUGGUUGUUUUUUCAGACCUGAUCUUUGCAGGUAUUCAGGAGCAAAAACAUUUUAAAUGAAAGACUACAGCAGAGCUAAAGCGCUGAUACUUCUUUAUAGUCUUCGCUGGAAAUAGAAUCAGUCCUGCUUUUUUUUUGGACCUUUAAGCACCUAGGCAGCCAGAGCUAGUUAAUCUUCAGUUUAAAAUGUUUUUUCUUUCAGCGCACAAGCAUUCGUCUUCGAGAACCUUGGAUUGGUAGAAAUGCAGAAAUGUUAAUCGCUGUCAUGUCUAUGCAAAGCUAUUAACGCUACUGAUUCUUAACUUUCUUAGUGAAGACAAAUUUACCAUAUGUCGAUGUGUAAACACUUUGGAAUAAAAUCAAAAACAGCUCUGUGCA